UAAGUAGUGUUCCUCAGAAAAUCAUCUUAACGUAGUCAUCAACUCCAAGACAAACCCCUUUGAGUAAUUUAUGAUGACAUAACAUUAAAACUGCAACAGCUUCGGUUACUCUAAUGAAGUACAACCACACGUUCAGUUUAAACGCAAUGCAAAUGUCUCACGAUAAACUGAUGUACUUACAUGAAAAAAUAUCAAAAGGAUAACGACGGUCAAGCUAAUCUUAGACCUACGUAAGCACUAAUAAGGAACAAGAGUGUCUCUCCAGAAAAUUGCGAUCUCUUAAAUCAUCUUCAACAUGGCGCUUUUUAUUGUGAAAGAAAAUAGUAUGCGUGUGAAUGGUUGAAACCGACUUGAGCUGAUAUUAUUUAACAAUAAUUGACAAAACGGUCCGAACGGCACAUAAUUAAGGUUCAAGGGCAUUCGCGAGUGGCCGUAUCGGUUGGUCGAUGGCAAUAAUAUUUUUUCAGAAUACACGAUUCGAAGAACUAUAACGCUGUAUAAAUGUGUAGGUAUAAUAUUGAUUUUUAUAUUUUUAAAUAAAAGAACAGACUAUACAGGCAUGGUGAUUCAUUAAGACACUCAUUUUCUC